rnacentral:lncRNA from 1 species
UUGAAGUUGAAGAAGAAGCUUCAAAACCAUCAUUACUAAACUUCACUAAAGUUUUUAGAAAGUUCUAAUUUUAAUUCACUCUAAAUCAUAUGAGAUGAUUGUAGGUGAACUCAUAGGCUCACAAUCAAUCUUUAUAGCAAUGAUUAAAAACCUCUAAAUUAUUAAAAUUAAUCAAAUUACUAUUCUAAUUUAAUAAUCUUUAUCAUUUUACUCUUAAUUAACCUAACUCAAGGAAUCAAGCUAGGAUUUAUACCAUCAAAGGUU